CCUACGGGGGGCUGCAGUGGGGAAUCUUGGACAAUGGGCGCAAGCCUGAUCCAGCCAUGCCGCGUGAGUGACGAAGGUCUUCGGAUUGUAAAGCUCUUUUGCCAGGGACGAUAAUGACGGUACCUGGAGAAUAAGCCCCGGCUAACUUCGUGCCAGCAGCCGCGGUAAUACGAAGGGGGCUAGCGUUGUUCGGAAUUACUGGGCGUAAAGCGCACGUAGGCGGAUUUGUAAGUCAGGGGUGAAAUCCCGGGGCUCAACCUCGGAACUGCCUUUGAUACUGCAAAUCUCGAGUCCGAUAGAGGUGAGUGGAAUUCCUAGUGUAGAGGUGAAAUUCGUAGAUAUUAGGAAGAACACCAGUGGCGAAGGCGGCUCACUGGAUCGGUACUGACGCUGAGGUGCGAAAGCGUGGGGAGCAAACAGGAUUAGAUACCCCAGUAGUC
rnacentral:rRNA from 1 species